ensembl:lncRNA
AAGCACGCGAAUGUGGCGCGCUCUGUAUUACCCCCCCCCAACCAUCAAGCCAACCGCCAGCAGCUGUGUAAAGAUCUAACUGUUCUCACACACCUCAGCGUGGAGUUUGUAAUCCAUCACAUUUUGGGAGCAGAAAAGGUUGGGCAUCCUCAUCCAGAUCUAAGCGUUCUCGCACACCUCAGCGUGGAGUUCCAAAUCCAGCACAGUCCGGGAGCAGAAAAGGUCGGGCAUCCUCAUCCAGAUUUAGUCGUUCUCGCACACCUCAGCGUGGAGUUCCAAAUCCAGCACAGUCCGGGAGCAGAAAAGGUCAGGCAUCCUCAUCCAGCUUUUCACCAACAAUCUAAUGGCUGGUUUCAACAUGAAGGGGCAGGGUCGCAGUGAGAAAAAAGCCUUCCAGGAUACAGUUUUUUACUCUUUGGUAAAAGCUGCAGUAAUGAAGUGGAGUAAAACUGCCACGGAACUUGAAAUUAGGGCUGCUAUGGCUGAGACACUGAAACAUGCUCCCGGGAGAGCUGGAGGUGGAGGUCGUCGCAAAGUCUGAA